rnacentral:rRNA from 1 species
GACAGAGGAUGCAAGCGUUAUCCGGAAUGAUUGGGCGUAAAGCGUCUGUAGGUGGCUUUUUAAGUCCGCCGUCAAAUCCCAGGGCUCAACCCUGGACAGGCGGUGGAAACUACCAAGCUGGAGUACGGUAGGGGCAGAGGGAAUUCCCGGUGUAGCGGUGAAAUGCGUAGAGAUCGGGAAGAACACCAACGGCGAAAGCACUCUGCUGGGCCGAAACUGACACUGAGAGACGAAAGCUAGGGGAGCGAAUGGG